GAUGAACGCUAGCGGCAGGCCUAAUGCAUGCAAGUCGAACGGUGUCUUCGGACAUAGUGGCGCACGGGUGCGUAACACGUAUGCAACCUACCUUACAUUGGGGGAUAGCCUUUCGAAAGGGAGCUUAAUACCGCAUAAGACAGUAGCUGGGCAUCCAGCAGCUGUUAAAGAUUUAUCGAUGUAAGCUGGGCAUGCGUCCAAUUAGCUAGUUGGUGAGGUAACGGCUCACCAAGGCAAUGAUUGGUAGGGGAACUGAGAGGUCAAUCCCCCACACCGGCACUGAGAUACGGGCCAGACGCCUACGGGAGGCAGCAGUAGGGAAUAUUGGGCAAUGGACGCAAGUCUGACCCAGCCAUGCCGCGUGCAGGAUGAAGGCGUUAUGCGUUGUAAACUGCUUUUAUACAGGAAGAAACGACUCUUGCGAGAGGCAUUGACGGUACUGUAUGAAUAAGCACCGGCUAACUCCGUGCCAGCCGCCGCGGUAAUAC
rnacentral:rRNA from 1 species